rnacentral:rRNA from 1 species
UACGUAGGUGGCAAGCGUUGUCCGGAUUUACUGGGCGUAAAGCGCGUGUAGGCGGCAGACCAAGUCGGCGGUGAAAGCGCCCGGCUCAACUGGGCGAGGUCCGUGGAAACUGGUCAGCUGGAGGACGGUAGAGGCGAGUGGAAUUCCCGGUGUAGUGGUGGAAUGCGUAGAUAUCGGGAGGAACACCAGUGGCGAAGGCGGUUGCCUGGGGCUUUGCUGACGCUGAUGCGCGAAAGCGUGGGGAGCGAGUCCGG